rnacentral:sRNA from 21 species
UGCUACAGGCGUCAAGGGGUCCGAAAGGUACUCCUGAUGUACCUUGGCACUGAGUAAAGUCUUGGGUACCUAGGGAAAGGUGAAGGAGCUAGACUCCUUACCAAGUACUUAGGGGGUGGAGAGUAGUAGGAGUGUUGGAGAAGCCCGGUGCUCCUAUGAAAUCUGGAAAAUCCUGAGGCUGAAAGGUGAGAAGGUACAAGGAGGCUUCCAAGUAGGGUCUGUUGAGCCUGUGGCA